rnacentral:rRNA from 1 species
CCUACGGGAGGCUGCAGUGAGGAAUAUUGGUCAAUGGACGGAAGUCUGAACCAGCCAUGCCGCGUGCAGGAAGACGGCUCUAUGAGUUGUAAACUGCUUUUGUACAAGGGUAAACCUGAAUACGUGUAUUCAGCUGAAAGUACUGUACGAAUAAGGAUCGGCUAACUCCGUGCCAGCAGCCGCGGUAAUACGGAGGAUCCAAGCGUUAUCCGGAUUUAUUGGGUGUAAAGGGUGCGUAGGCGGAUUGAUAAGUUAGAGGUGAAAUGUCCGAGCUUAACUCGGGAACUGCCUGUAAUACUGUUGAACUAGAGAGUAGGUGCGGUAGGCGGAAUUGAUGGUGUAGGGGUGAAAUGCUUAGAGAUCAUACAGAACACCGAUUGCGAAGGCAGCUUACCAAUCUAUAUCUGACGUUGAGGCACGAAAGCGUGGGGAGCAAACAGGAUUAGAUACCCCUGUAGUC